rnacentral:tRNA from 1 species
UGGGCUAUCGCCAAGUUGGUAAGGCACCGGAUUCUGAUUCCGGCAUUUCGGAGGUUCGAGUCCUUCUAGCCCAGCCA